rnacentral:lncRNA from 1 species
UUAUUCAAAAUUAUUAAUUGUCAUAUAUACUUUAGCCACAUUAGGCAAUUCCGUAAUCUUAUUUAAAGAAAUAACGAAGCACAUUUAAUAAUGUAUUUAUUGUGGUUUAAUAAAAAACUUAUUAUAUAUUUAGAUGGACCAACCUAUUUAUCUAAGGAUUCUAAGAAUCAUUCUAGUGAUGACAUGUGGCUACAAAAAAAUGUUGCAAUGCUUCUCAAAUAAUAUAUAGGGG